GACGAACGCUGGCGGCGUGCUUAACACAUGCAAGUCGAACGGAAAGGCCCUGCUUUUGUGGGGUGCUCGAGUGGCGAACGGGUGAGUAACACGUGAGUAACCUGCCCUUGACUUUGGGAUAACUUCAGGAAACUGGGGCUAAUACCGGAUAGGAGCUCCUGCUGCAUGGUGGGGGUUGGAAAGUUUCGGCGGUUGGGGAUGGACUCGCGGCUUAUCAGCUUGUUGGUGGGGUAGUGGCUUACCAAGGCUUUGACGGGUAGCCGGCCUGAGAGGGUGACCGGCCACAUUGGGACUGAGAUACGGCCCAGACUCCUACGGGAGGCAGCAGUGGGGAAGAUUGCACAAUGGGCGGAAGCCUGAUGCAGCAACGCCGCGUGCGGGAUGACGGCCUUCGUGUUGUAAACCGCUUUCGCCUGUGACGAAGCGUGAGUGACGGUAAUGGGUAAAGAAGCACCGGCUAACUACGUG
rnacentral:rRNA from 1 species